rnacentral:rRNA from 1 species
GGAAUGUGUUAUGAGUUAUUAGUUAUAUUUAUUAAUAUAGUAAAUUGUAUAAUAAGGAAAAAAGAUAAAUUUCUUUAAAACGAUGAAUGAAUUCUAAGAGAGGAAUAUAUUAGAAAUAGUAUAUUUCAAUUUCGAAGAAUAAAAGAAACAUUCGAUGAUAGAAAGGAAUUUAAAAAAGGAUUUAAAGAUGAUGUUAAAAGAAAGCAUUAAUUUAGAUUCAGACUUUUUAAGAUAGUACUUAUCUACCCGUCUUGAAACACGGACCAAGGAGUCUAACAUGGAUGCGAAUGUGAAAGGGAAUAAUCCCUAGAAUACAUGGAGAGAAAUCGAAACACUAUGACGAUCAGAUAAUGAUUAGCAGUAGUAUCUUUUUCAAACGGAAAAGAAGAAGUAAACAUGUUAGGACCCGAAAGAUGGUGAACUAAACUUGAAGGAUUUGAAGCCGAAGGAAACUUUGGUGGAAGAAUCAAGAAGUGUUAACGUGCAAAUUACUUUCGAUAUUUGAGUUUAGGGGCGAAAGACUCAUCGAACCAUCUAGUAGCUGGUUCCACCUGAAUAUUCCCUUAGGAAGGUCAAAGUGGUAAUAGUAUUGAUUGGUAAAGAUAAUGAUUAGGUGUAAUGGUGGAGAUAAUCUGUCAACAUCUUGUCAAACUAUGAAUGAACAAAGAAGUUUGGAAUGUUAGUAACGCUAACUUAUUUUGAACUGAUAUAAGUACACUUUGAAUCGGCCAAGUCUGGUAAGCAGGACUGGCGAUGCGGGAUGAACCGAACGUAGAGAUAAAGUGCCAAAGGGAAACAUAAGGAAAACCAUAAAAGGCAUUCAUUCAUAUUGACAAUAGGACGGUGGCCAUGGAAGUCGGAAACCGCCAAGGAGUGUGUAACAACUCACCUAUCGAAUGAAUGAGUCCUGAAAAUGGAUGGCGUUAUAAUUUCCGUCACUGAUGCUCUACCAUUACUUUGAAGAGAAAGUAAUGAGUAAGGAAACGACAUGGCGUAAAGAUCACGAUAGUAAGAAAGCUUUUGAGUAAUCAAGAGUGAAACGAUCUUUAGUGCAGAUCUUGGUGGUAGUAGCAAAUACUAAGAAGAAGGAAAACACAUCUUAGAACUGAAGAGGAGAAAGGUUCCUAAACAACAUUACUUGGAUUAGGGUGAAUCGAUCCUAAAUGACAGAUGGAAAUCCUUAUAAGAAAUAUAUUAAAAUUUUAUAUCAAUGAUAUAAGAUAAUAAGAAGGAUUAAAAGGGAAUAAGAUUAAUAGUUCUUAAUCAAAAGAAUUUAAUGUUUAAUAUAUAAAUAGAUAACAGUCGUAAGACAGUUAACUAUAAAUAUAUCAACAUAUAAAAAAAUGGUAACAUAUAAAUGAACUUUAAAAGAGAUUAGUAUUAACUAAGGAAGAGUUCUCUUUUCUUCUUAACAAAGCUGCAUAUUGCAUUUAAAUGAAUCAAUCAGAGAAAUGGAAUAUAUUAGCAUUGGAAGACAAUUGUCAUAUGAAUGAUUGGAAUAGGAUAAUACUAGUUUUCAUAAAAAUUAAAGGGAAUACAUAAAGAAAGAAUUCUUUUGAUCGUACUCAUAACCGCAACAGGUCUCCAAGAAUUAGAAUCUUUAGUUAAAUAGAAUAACGCAAGUAAGGGAAGUCGGCAACAUAGCUCUGUACGUUCGCAAGAAAGAGUAGCUCUAAUGAUUGACAAGAAUCAUCUUGUGUACCAAUUAAAUUAGAACUUAUAAAGAUUAGGGGAAUCCGACUGUUUAAUAAAAACAUAGCAUUCUGAAGAAUCUAAAAGGUGCAAAACAGAAUGUGAUUUCUGCCCAGUGCUCUGAAUGUCAAGGUAAAGAAAUUUGCUUAAGCGCGGGUUAACGGCGGGAGUAACUAUGACUCUCUUAAGGUAGCCAAAUGCCUCGUCAUCUAAUUAGUGACGCGCAUGAAUGGAUCACCGUGAUUCCCACUGUCCCUAUUUGCAAUCUAGUGAAACCACAGUCAAGGGAACGGGCUUGAAAAGAACGGCGGGGAAAGAAGACCCUGUUGAGCUUGAC